AAGACGGCCCUGUUAAUAAUGUAUAUUUAUUCCGAAUAGGAAUUUGUUUCACAAAUAGAUGUACAGUUUUUAAACGACCUUAAAAAGAAAGUGACCCAGUUUUCGAAAGAUUUAUCUACAUAGGUUUGGCUAGUAAGAAAACAACUGAUUCCAAUAAUGAUGUUCAACGUUAUGAGGAACCAAGAAGGAGUUGUUCGAAAGAGAUUCAACAGUUCAUAAAUUGUGCCGCUACAGAGAAAGACAUUACGCUAUGCCAAGGAUUUAAUGAAGCUAUUCGAGAAUGCAAACAAAAACAUAACCUCAAUUAAGCCUUACAAAGAAAUAAAUACAAAA
rnacentral:lncRNA from 1 species